UCUUAUUUCAAACUCCACCCCUGUAGGUGCUGACUCAGUACUCCCCUAGAAAAGAGUCCUCAAGGCAGCCAGAGAGUGGCCCUCCCUCCCUCUCCAUCCCACAAAUCCCCCUCCCGCAGGCCCAGAGGGUGCUGGGCUCCUGGCUGCAGAGAACCCUGGGAAAGUGAGGAGGGCCCUGCCAACCACCUCUUGGUGGCUUGGUGUUGUCAGGAGAGAAAUUUUCUAGGGAAGUUCAUAAAUGUGUGUGGCCAAACAGAGAAGCAAGUAUUGUUUACAAGGUGGCUUAAGCCCUGAAGAUGAAAGACAGGGACAUCAUCUAGGCAAAAUGAAGCUGUACGGGAGGGAGGUGGAGGUGGGAAUCAGCAGAGGGAAAGAAAGGUAGACUCAGGUGGUGGCAAAGAAUGGACAGGGCAGAGGGUGGCCCUUGACCGAGUGUGGGCUGGGCACCGGAACAGGGCCAGCUCCUUAAGGGUGCGGAUAGAGUGGACUGGUCCACUCCUGUCCCCUCCCUGGCCUCCGUCCUGAUUCAGGCUGGAGUGAGGCGUCACCACAUCUCAGGUGCUGGGAGGGGCCGCCUGCUGGAUUUGAGACAGACUGAGCAGGCGAUGGUUCCACAGCACAUCCUUCCUGUUCCCGGUCCAUUCACUCGGCGGAACAGCAGCUGAGAAAGAUGCCUUGAAGCAGGCUGGCCAAAGACUCCAGUCCCUCUUCCUUUCUCCAGGAUUUCUCUACAGGUUUCUGACAUUAGAACAUCAUCCAUUGUCCCAAGCUGGAACAGGAAUGGAGAGACCAAGAGGCAAGGAUCUGUCUGAGUUGCUCGCCAGUCACAGGCCAGGCUUGGCUCAGCAGCCUGACUUCCUGCUGCCCAGGCUGCCUGGUGCUCCAUCUAGCAAUUGUUGCCAGGGUGGCUGAAGCUGCUGAUUACAAAGCCACAGCUCAUAGGCUAAUAAUUUUGUCUGGAUUUCUAUCAAGGCCAGGAAUGCCGGUCAGCCGCAAAUGCAGGAAAUUUUAAGAGAUCAAGAGCAGUUGACAACAAAAUCCAUUCUGGGAUGUUUUUAACAAAACAAUCAAGGAUUCAGCACUUCCCAGGGGGUGAGGACCAAAAUGGAACAUGACCAACAGCCAGCAUCACCUCUGCGAUCUCGCACGUCUAUUUUGAACCAUAAGGAAUGAUCUAAAAAUAAU
rnacentral:lncRNA from 1 species